rnacentral:misc_RNA from 1 species
GCAAACUUGGUCAUUUAGAGGAAGUAAAAGUCGUAACAAGGUUUCCGUAGGUGAACCUGCGGAAGGAUCAUUAUCGAGUCUUUUGAACUGGUUGUCGCUGGCCUUGCAACAUAGGCAUGUGCACGCCUAGUUCGUCCACUCUUAACCCCUGUGCACUAUAUGUAAGAAUGGACGACAAAAGUAGAAAGUUCUUAUGUUUAUUACAAACGUUUCAGUAUCAGAAUGUUUACUGUGUAUUACACAAAUAUACAACUUUCAGCAACGGAUCUCUUGGCUCUCGCAUCGAUGAAGAACGCAGC